rnacentral:misc_RNA from 1 species
CUCAUCCUCAUCUGGUCCAAAACCAGCAAAGCGAAACAAUACUUCCUGAAAUGACCAGCAUCAUCAGGACAUAUGAGGAGAAGAAGGAAGUAGCUCUAAAAACUUAAAACCAGAGCAUUGUAAGAUUCAGUUAAGCAUCCUAAUUUCUCGCAUAAAGAUCAGUGUUAGAAUCCUUGUAAUUAUUAGGUGUAUCAGUAAUUAUAGGAAACCUAUGUAAUUAGAAUCCCUGUAAUUAGCCAGGUCUUUAUUUAGCUUCCUUUUAUGUUUGUAAUUAACCCUAUAUGAAUAGGGAACCUUGUAUAUGUUUAAACACAUAAGAAAUAGAGAUUUUUUUCACCAAAUUUACUGUUCUCAACAUGGUAUCAGAGCACAACCAAAUUUUUGGCAUGAAAUUUCUUGAACAGUUCACCACCCACCUCAAACUGCAGCCCACUCGCCGAUCUGCACUUUCUCGGCGGAAGCGCCGUCGUCCGGCCAUUUGCAUGAGUACACGUACCUUGUUUGUCCCUAGCGUCUCUCACAUGCGUUGGCGCGUGGGGCAUUUUUUGGCGACCUUUUCCGGCCGAAUCCUCUUUCGACAGCCUCACUCGUGUGCUGCGACCCUGUUCAACCUAUUACUCUUUGCUAGUUUGCUUUUGUUCAUUGUUCAACCUUUUGUUUGGUACUGCUCCUGUGAGGAUCCUACUGUGAGAACAAUUUUACCAUAGUCGGUGUAUUUUUUUACUUGUUCCCUUUUAAAAUAUGGCUGAUGGAAAGAGAGUGGAUUCAAAAAAUAAUUUUGAAAAUCCCUCUCUGCAAAUUAGUCUUGUGAAGCUUGAUGGAGCCAACUAUCUUGUUUGGUCAAGGUCUUGUCUUUUGUUUAUCCAGGCUAGAGGACUAUAGGAGUAUCUUACCUGAGAUGAGAAUAAACCAGACACUUCGACUUCUACCUACAGUCUGUGGGAGUCAGAAAACUCUCUUAUCAUGUCAUGGCUCAUCAAUUCCUUGCAACCACAUAUAGCUCGUGUGUAUUUGCUGUUGGAUAGUGCAACUACCAUUUGGAGUGCUAUUUCCUAGACCUAUUCUCAAGUUGGGAAUGAUGCAUAAGUUUAUGAGCUUAGGAACAAGG